UACGGAGGGUGCGAGCGUUGUCCGGAAUCACUGGGCGUAAAGGGCGCGUAGGCGGCCUGAUAAGUAGGGGGUGAAAUCCUGCGGCUUAACCGCAGGGCUGCCUUCUAAACUGUCAGGCUAGAGCACAGUAGAGGCAGGUGGAAUUCCCGGUGUAGCGGUGGAAUGCGCAGAUAUCAGGAGGAACACCGGUGGCGAAGGCGGGUCUCUGGGCCGAUACUGACGCUGAGGAGCGAAAGCGUGGGGAGCGAACAGG
rnacentral:rRNA from 1 species